AUUCUCUAGAAUAUACAUAUAUAUAUUCUCUCUCUCUCUCUCUCUCUCUCUCUAUAUAUAUAUAUAUAUAUAUAUAUAUAGAGAGAGAGAGAGAGAGAGAGAGAGAGGAAGAGAUGUGUGUGUAAAUAUCUAU
rnacentral:miRNA from 1 species